UACGAAGGGGGCUAGCGUUGUUCGGAAUUACUGGGCGUAAAGGGCGCGUAGGCGGUGUGUCAAGUCAGGCGUGAAAGCCCCGGGCUCAACCUGGGAACAGCGCUUGAGACUGGCACGCUCGAGUUCGGGAGAGGAUGGUGGAAUUCCCAGUGUAGAGGUGAAAUUCGUAGAUAUUCGCAAGAACACCAGUGGCGAAGGCGGCUCACUGGCCCGAUACUGACGCUGAGGAGCGAAAGCGUGGGGAGCGAACAGG
rnacentral:rRNA from 1 species